CUUCAAGCCUGACUGUGUCGGUGUCCUUUUGCCUGUAAUCUCAGCACCAGGGAGGCAGAGGCAGGCAAUCUGUGUUGAGUUGGAGGACAGCCUAGUCCAGAAAGCAAAUUCCAGGACAGCCGGGCUGCCUUGAGAAAGAAGCCCUGUCUCAAAAAACCAGAGGGGAAAAAAGAACGAAGGCUUCUAUGAGAAAUGGACUAAGAGCUGGGACACGAGGCAAAGACAGGCUUUUGCUCUCAAUAGAGUGAGUGUACAGUGCAGCCAGCAGUCCUCACUUUCUGUUCUCAAACAUUCUUGGGUGUAGCUGACCUUACCACGUGAUUGCUGGGUUGACUUGCGCUCCUGUGCACAGAAGAAAGCAGGACCUUCUCACCGUGCUGCCUCGUGUUUUGUCACCAGCUACUGCUGACCAAAUAGCAGGUGUUUGCCUGAGGUGACUGUUGUUGGACCAGUGUCACCUGGAAGUGAUUUCCUAGCUAAGACAACAUGAAUGAACAGAUGAAGAAAAUGGCAAAGACAAGUGGCCAGAAAGGGCCGGGCAGAAGGGCCCUCGACAGAAUGACUCUAAAUCAUGACGAGGCAAGGCCAGUUCAGAAUACCAGAGUGGAACCUCCCCAUGUAACAUACACCAUCCACGAAGAAGGUGAGAUUAGCCCUGAGAAUGAGGAAGAUGUCUUUCCUAAUGGAUACCUAGAAUGCAUCAUAAGAGGGGAGUUUUCUGAGCCCAUUUUGGAAGAGGAUUUACUUUUUAAAUCCUUCGAAAGCCU
rnacentral:lncRNA from 1 species